rnacentral:misc_RNA from 1 species
GAUGAAGAACGUAGCGAAAUGCGAUAAGUAGUGUGAAUUGCAGAAUUCAGUGAAUCAUCGAAUCUUUGAACGCACAUUGCGCCCCUUGGUAUUCCAUGGGGCAUGUCUGUUCGAGCGUCAUUUGUACCUUCAAGCUCUGCUUGGUGUUGGGUGUUUGUCUCGCCUCUGCGUGUAGACUCGCCUCAAAAUAAUUGGCAGCCGGCGUAUUGAUUUCGGAGCGCAGUACAUCUCGCGCUUUGCACUCAUAACGACGACGUCCAAAAGUACAUUUUUACACUCUUGACCUCGGAUCAGGUAGGGAUACCCGCUGAACUUAAGCAUAUCAAUAAGCGGAGGA